CACCAGACUCCUACGGGAGGCAGCAGUGGGGAAUAUUGCACAAUGGGGGGAACCCUGAUGCAGCGACGCCGCGUGAGUGAAGAAGUAUUUCGGUAUGUAAAGCUCUGUCAGCAGGGAAGAAGAAAGACGGUACCUGACCAAGAAGCCCCGGCUAACUACGUGCCAGCAGCCGCGGUAAUACGUAGGGGGCAAGCGUUAUCCGGAUUCACUGGGUGUAAAGGGAGCGUAGACGGCGGCGCAAGUCUGGAGUGAAAGCCCGGGGCCCAACCCCGGGACUGCUCUGGAAACUGCGGCGCUGGAGUACGGGAGGGGCAGGCGGAAUUCCUGGUGUAGCGGUGAAAUGCGUAGAUAUCAGGAGGAACACCGGCGGCGAAGGCGGCCUGCUGGACCGUGACUGACGUUGAGGCUCGAGAGCGUGGGGAGCAAACAGGAUUAGAUACCCCAGUAC
rnacentral:rRNA from 1 species